GGGGGGGGGGGGGGGGGGGGGGGGGGGGGGCGGGGCGGGGGGGGGGGCGGGAAGCGGGCUGCGCGGAUGGUAGCGGCGGACGGGUGAGGAACACGUGGAUAACCUACCUAUAAGACUGGGAGAACGUCGGGAAACCGGAGCUAAUACCGGAUGAUAUUUUGAACCGCAUGGUUCAAAAGUGAAAGACGGUCUUGCUGUCACUUAUAGAUGGAUCCGCGCUGCAUUAGCUAGUUGGUAAGGUAACGGCUUACCAAGGCAACGAUGCAUAGCCGACCUGAGAGGGUGAUCGGCCACACUGGAACUGAGACACGGUCCAGACUCCUACGGGAGGCAGCAGUAGGGAAUCUUCCGCAAUGGGCGAAAGCCUGACGGAGCAACGCCGCGUGAGUGAUGAAGGUCUUCGGAUCGUAAAACUCUGUUAUUAGGGAAGAACAUAUGUGUAAGUAACUGUGCACAUCUUGACGGUACCUAAUCAGAAAGCCACGGCUAACUACGUG
rnacentral:rRNA from 1 species